rnacentral:lncRNA from 1 species
GUACAAGUUAUCCACCCCACCAUCUAAGGAAAAUAGAUUUCCCUUUGACUCAAGGACACAAAUCCUUCCAUUUCUCCUUGAAUCCCAUUUCUCAGCAAUACCAAGAAAAACAACAGGACUAAAGACUAGCCUAAAAUUUGGAUAUUGAAAAACACGACCAGACAGCAGAAGUGAGGUUGGUUUUAAUACAGAGAGUACAGAUAGAACUUUCUUUCUUCAUUGGGGUUUAACUGAUGUUCAGCAUACCAUACUGUUUGGUGCUCUUAUCAAUAUAUCCUGGUGUCUCCAUACCCCUACUGUGUAGAAGAAGAAACCUUAGACCUUGUUUACAGAGGAAGAUUCCAUACAGGCAAGGUUGGGAUCCCUUGAAGAGUGUCACUGUCCAGGUUGCAGCUAUGAAGGGAAAGUCAACAAGAACCACAGAGAACUCAACCUGAAUACCUGACAACACUGAGCCAUUGAAUUCAUCAGUCCUGUAACUGCCUUAUCCUGAGCUUCCUACCACCCAAUGUAGUAUUAUACCAUAUCAUUGUUUAGUUGGAUUUUCUGUGAUAUGUUCCUAAAAUCAUCCCAAUUGAUGCAAAUGUGAAGGCAACAGAAAGCCAUAGAUUUUCCAUGUCCUCAUUACAUUGUCCAGAGGCAGACAGUACCGGGGGGCCUCUCAGUGAGGCUUUGCCAUCUCAGAAAUGCCCACUGGAUUGCAUCAAUCAACAGGGUGUUUCUGCAUCUUAGGUUAUUCAUUUUAUGCAAAAUAUAUAUGUCAAGG